rnacentral:sRNA from 1 species
GGCUUGGUUUUCAGUAUCAGGAAAUUAGAGAAUUAUUUUAUCAAGGAAAAAACAAUGGAACAUUUGGGGCUCUGCCUCCCCUGUCACCCUUACAGAACUUAGUCCUGUGGCAGGCACACAGUUGGUUCUGUAGUUGGUAUGGAGACCUGCCCUGGAAAUCCAGGCAGCACUGCUCACCUGGCAUCUCCUGUCCACAUCAUUCCAGGUUUGGCGAAGCUGUGAAUGGCAACCUGGUGGUGGGCACACUGGCCUGGCCAUCUCCAUGGGUAAUUGUCAUCGGAUCCUUCUUCUCCACCUGUGGGGCUGGGCUGCAGAGCCUCACGGGGGCCCCACGCCUGCUGCAGGCCAUCUCGAGGGAUGGCAUCGUGCCCUUCCUGCAGGUCUUUGGCCAUGGCAAGGCCAAUGGAGAGCCGACCUGGGCCCUGCUCCUGA